rnacentral:rRNA from 1 species
GGUAGGANUUCGCAUGGAGAAGUCUGACGGAGCAACGCCGCGUGAGUGAUGAAGGUUUUCGGAUCCUANAGCUCUGUUGUUAGGGAAGAACAAGUGCCGUUCAAAUAGGGCGGCACCUUGACGGUACCUAACCAGAAAGCCACGGCUAACUACGUGCCAGCAGCCGCGGUAAUACGUAGGUGGCAAGCGUUGUCCGGAAUUAUUGGGCGUAAAGGGCUCGCAGGCGGUUUCUUAAGUCUGAUGUGAAAGCCCCCGGCUCAACCGGGGAGGGUCAUUGGAAACUGGGGAACUUGAGUGCAGAAGAGGAGAGUGGAAUUCCACGUGUAGCGGUGAAAUGCGUAGAGAUGUGGAGGAACACCAGUGGCGAAGGCGACUCUCUGGUCUGUAACUGACGCUGAGGAGCGAAAGCGUGGGGAGCGAACAGGAUUAGAUACCCUGGUAGUCCACGCAA